CAGCAGCCGCGGUAAUACGUAGGGUGCAAGCGUUAAUCGGAAUUACUGGGCGUAAAGCGUGCGCAGGCGGUUUGUUAAGUCUGCUGUGAAAUCCCCGGGCCCAACCUGGGAAUGGCAGUGGAUACUGGCUCGCUAGAGUGUGUCAGAGGAUGGUGGAAUUCCCGGUGUAGCGGUGAAAUGCGUAGAGAUCGGGAGGAACAUCAGUGUCGAAGGCGGCCAUCUGGGACAACACUGACGCUGAGGCACGAAAGCGUGGGGAGCAAACAGGAUUAGAUACCCCUGUAGUCCCUGUCUCUUAUAC
rnacentral:rRNA from 1 species